GUUAAAAAGCUCGUAGUUGGAUCUUGGAGUGUGAGUGAACGGUCGAUCGAAAGAUUGUACUGUUCGGCACACUCUUCUCUUCGGUUGCGUGUGUAGUGCCCUUAACUGAGUGCUGCACUCGACCGGAAUUUUUACCUUGAAAAAAUUAGAGUGUUCAAAGCAGACCUGAUUAUGUCCGAAUAUUCGUGCAUGGAAUAAUAAAAUAAGAACUUGGUUCUAUUUUAUUGGUUUUCGGAACUCGAGUUAAUGAUUAAGAGGGACAGACGGGGGCAUCCGUACUCUGCCGUUAGAGGUGAAAUUCUUGGAUCGGCGGAAGACGCGCAACUGCGAAAGCAUUUGCCAAGAAUGUUUUCUUUAAUCAAGAACGAAAGUCGGAGGUUCGAAGACGAUCAGAUACCGUCCUAGUUUCGACUGUAAACUAUGCCAGCUAACGAUCAGACAGCGUUCUCUACGACUUGUCUGGCAGUUUCCGGGAAACCAAAGCUUUUGGGUUCCGGGGGAAGUAUGGUUGCAAAGCUGAAACUUAAAGGAAUUGACGGAAGGGCACCACCAGGAGUGGAGCCUGCGGCUUAAUUUGACUCAACACGGGGAAACUCACCCGGCCCGGACACAGUGAGGAUUGACAGAUUGAGAGUUCUUUCUUGAUUCUGUGGGUGGUGGUGCAUGGCCGUUCUUAGUUGGUGGAGCGAUUUGUCUGGUUAAUUCCGAUAACGAACGAGACUCUGGCAUGUUAAAUAGUCGCGGGAGUUAUUAUUACUCGCCUUGAUGACUUCUUAGAGG
rnacentral:rRNA from 1 species